GAAACUCGAGCUAAUACCGCAUACGCUCUACGGAGGAAAGUGGGGGAUCUUCGGACCUCACGCUAUUAGAGUAGCCUGCGUUGGAUUAGCUAGUUGGUGGGGUAAAGGCUCACCAAGGCGACGAUCCAUAGCUGGUCUGAGAGGACGAUCAGCCACACUGGAACUGAGACACGGUCCAGACUCCUACGGGAGGCAGCAGUAGGGAAUCUUGGUCAAUGGGCGAAAGCCUGAACCAGCGAUGCCGCGUGUGUGAAGAAGGCCCUAGGGUUGUAAAGCACUUUCAGCAGUGAAGAAACCCCGGCGGUUAAUACCUGCCGGUCUUGACGUUAACUGCAGAAGGAGCACCGGCUAACUCCGUGCCAGCAGCCGCGGUAAUACGGAGGGUGCGAACGUUAAUCGGAAUUACUGGGCGUAAAGCGCGCGUAGGCGGUUUGAUAAGUGGGAUGUGAAAGCCCUGGGCUCAACCUAGGAACUGCAUUCCAAACUGUCAGGCUAGAGUAUGGUAGAGGGAGGUAGAAUUUCCUGUGUAGCGGUGAAAUGCGUAGAUAUAGGAAGGAAUACCGGUGGCGAAGGCGGCCUCCUGGACCA
rnacentral:rRNA from 1 species